rnacentral:misc_RNA from 1 species
UCUCCGUAGGUGAACCUGCGGAGGGAUCAUUACAGAGUUCAUGCCCUACCGGGUAGAUCUCCCACCCUAUGUUAUUAUUACUUCGUUGCUUUGGCGGGCCGUUAGGCUCCGGCCCGACUACCGGCCCCGGCUGGUAAGCGCCCGCCAGAGGACCCAAAACCCUGAAUAUUAGUGUCGUCUGAGUACUAUAUAAUAGUUAAAACUUCCAACAACGGAUCUCUUGGUUCUG